rnacentral:rRNA from 1 species
CGGUAAUUCCAGCUCCAAUAGCGUAUACUAAAGUUGUUGCAGUUAAAAAGCUCGUAGUUGGAUUUCUGCGGGGACGGAGCGGCCGGUCGCAACUUGCGACUCGAGCUAGCGCUUUCCCCGCAUCCUGCCGCGAAUCGUGCUACCAUUAGUUUGGUGGCGCUGGGGAUCGGCUCGAUUACUUUGAGAAAAAUAGAGUGUUCAAAGCAGGCCACACGCCUUGAAUAAGUUAGCAUGGAAUAAUGACUAAGGACUUUGGUUCUUCUCGUUGGUGUUCGGGACUGAAGUAAUGAUUGAUAGGGACAGUUGGGGCGGUCCGUAUUCCAAAGCGAGAGGUGAAAUUCUUAGACCUUCGGAAGACGAACAGCUGCGAAAGCGUUCCGCAAGGAUGUUCCCUUUGAUCAAGAACGAAAGUUGGGGGAUCGAAGACGAUCAGAUACCGUCGUAGUCUCAACUAUAAACUAUACCAGCUAGGGAUCGGCCAACGUUUAAUUAUUCGACUUGGUCGGCACCUUAUGAGAAAUCAAAGCAUCUGGGUUCCGGGGGGAGUAUGGUCGCAAGGCUGAAACUUAAAGGAAUUGACGGAAGGGCACCACCAGCCGUGGAGCCUGUGGCUUAAUUUGACUCAACACGGGAAAACUUACCAGGUCCAGACAUAGGAAGGAUUGACAGAUUGAUAGCUCUUUCUUGAUUCUGUGGGUGGUGGUGCAUGGCCGUUUUUAGUCGGUGGAUGUGAUCUGUCUGCUUAAUUGCGUUAACGGACGAGACCUUAACCUGCUAAAUAGUGACGCAAUUCUCGAAUUGUGACUCACUUCUUAGAGGGACUGUUGGUGUUUAACCAAAGUCAGGAAGGCAAUAACAGGUCUGUGAUGCCCUUAGAUGUUCUGGGCCGCACGCGCGCUACACUGUUGGAUUCAGCGAGUCUUAUCCUUAACCGAAAGGUUUGGGUAAUCUUUUGAAAGUCCAACGUGAUGGGGAUUGACCAUUGCAAUUAUUGGUCAUGAACGAGGAAUUCCUAGUAAGCGCGAGUCAUCAGCUCGCGUUGAUUACGUCCCUGCCCUUUGUACACACCGCCCGUCGCUACUACCGAUUGAAUGGUUUAAUGAGACAUUCUGAUUGGCGCUGCCGAAGCUGGUAACGGCUUUGGCGGAUUGCCGAAAAGUUUUUCAAGUUUGAUCAUUUAGAGGAAGUAAAAGUCGUAACAAGGUAGCCG